rnacentral:rRNA from 1 species
UAAUUUAUCGGGCAAGGUUAUGUGAUGAUAUCAAGUAGCCGAAGCGAAAGCGAGUUGUAAAAGGCGAUUUAGUCCGAUGGAUUAGACCAGAAACGAGAUGAGCUUACCAUGAGCAGGCUGAAGUUUGUCGAAAGACAAAUGGAGGGCCGCACCAGUUGGAGUUUCAAAUCCUUUGGAUGACUUGUGGUAAGAGGAGAAAUUCCAAUCGAAUCUCGAGAUAGCUGGUUCUCUCCGAAAUAACUUUAGGGUUAGCGUUCGAUAAAUAGAGUAUUGUGAGGUAAAGCACUGAAUGAGGUUGGGGCUGUUUGACGGUACCCGCUUCAAUCAAACUAAGAAUUCCGAUACUUGUUCUCGAGCAGUUAGAACGCGGGUGCUAAGAUCCGUGCUCGAAAGGGAAACAACCCAGACCGUCAGCUAAGGUCCCCAAAUCUAUGCUCAGUGGGAAACGAUGUGUAUUUGCAUAAACAACCAGGAUGUUGGCUUAGAAGCAGCCAUUCAUUUAAAGAGUGCGUAACAGCUCACUGGUCUAAGGCAGAUAUGCGCGGAAAAUAUAACGGGGCUUAAGCAUAGUACCGAAGCUACGGAAUACAUUAAUUGUAUUGGUAGGAGAGCGUUCUUAUCAGCGCUGAAGUCAAAUUGUAAGAUUUGGUGGAGCGGUAAGAAGUGAGAAUGCUGGAACGAGUAAACCAUAAGAUAGGUGAAAAUCCUAUCCACCGAAAGAGCAAGGUUUCCUACGCAACGAUUUUCGACGUAGGGUUAGUCGGUCCUAAGCCGAGGCCAAUGGCGUAGGCGAUGGACAACAGGUUAAUAUUCCUGUACUAGUAUUAUUGUUCUAGAUAGAUGACGCAUUGGGAUAGUAGUAGCGGUCUGGUGAUUAUGACCGUCUAAGUGUAAUAAGAGGCACGAGUGAAAUGUCUGGUAACAGAUAAAUUACUAUGAGUUCUAGUGACUGGAAAAGCCUAUCUAGGUAUAGAUAAUGCUAUCCGUACCGCAAACCGACACAGGUGCUCAGGUCGAGUAGACCAAGGUGUACGAGAGAACCCUUGUUAAGGAACUCGGCAAAAUAGCGGCCGUAACUUCGGGAGAAGGCCCGCCUAAAGUUAAUUCUUUAGGCCACAGCAAAAGAGUCCAAGCAACUGUUUACCAAAAACACAGGUCUCUGCUAAAGCGAAAGCUGAUGUAUAGGGACUGACGCCUGCCCAGUGCUGGAAGGUUAACAGGAGAUGUGAUUUAGCAUCGAAUCGAAGCCCCAGUGAACGGCGGCCCUAACUAUAAGGGUCCUAAGGUAGCGAAAUUCCUUGUCUGGUAAGUUCAGACCCGCACGAAUGGCGUAAUGAUUUGGACACUGUCUCAACAAGGGACUCGGUGAAAAUGCAGUAGCGGUGAAGAUGCCGUUUUCCCGCACCAAGACGGUAAGACCCCGUGAAGCUUUACUACAACUUGGCAUUGUUUUUGAUCUAUUUAUGUGUAGUAUAGGAGGAAGACAUUGAAGCAAACACGCUAGUGAUUGUGGAGUCAGCAAGUGAAAUACCUCCCUUAAAUAUAUUAAAGACUUAAUCUAUAGCCGUUAUCCGGCAUGGAGACAGUGUCUGGUGGGUAGUUUAACUGGGGCGGUUGCCUCCCAAAUAGUAACGGAGGCGUUCAAAGGUUGGCUAGCUACGGAUGGAAAUCGUAGCGAUAGUGUAAACGCAGAUGCCAGCUUGACUGUGAGGCCUACAAGCCAAGCAGGUACGAAAGUAGGAGUUAGUGACCCACUCAAUCUGAAAGUGGAAUCGUGAGAGCUCAACGGAUAAAAGUUACUCCGGGGAUAACAGGCUUAUGGCGCCCAAUAGUCCACAUAGACGGCGCCGUUUGGCACCUCGAUGUCGGCUCGUCCUAUCCUGGGGCUGUAGCAGGUCCCAAGGGUUUGGCUGUUCGCCAAUUAAAGUGGUACGCGAGCUGGGUU